rnacentral:snRNA from 1 species
AUACUUACCUGGCGCGGGGGAUACCGUGAUCAAGAAGGCGGUGCCUCCAGGACGAGGCUGUAACAUUGCACUCCGUAUGGGGCUGACUCCUGCGACUACCCCAAAUCGGGGUGGCUCGAGCGCAUAAUUUUUGUAGUGGGGACAAGCGUUCGCGGCUGUCCCUU